GGGAUUGCCUCAGUAACGGCGAGUGAAGCGGCAACAGCUCAAAUUUGAAAUCUGGCCCUUCCGGGGUCCGAGUUGUAAUUUGUAGAGAGUGCUUCGGGGGAGAGUGCGGUCUAAGUCCAUUGGAACAUGGUGUCAUAGAGGGUGAGAAUCCCGUACGUGACCGCGGAUCGAACCCGUGUGAAGCCUCUUCGACGAGUCGAGUUGUUUGGGAAUGCAGCUCAAAAUGGGUGGUAAAUUUCAUCUAAAGCUAAAUAUUGGCUGGAGACCGAUAGCGCACAAGUAGAGUGAUCGAAAGAUGAAAAGCACUUUGGAAAGAGAGUUAAACAGUACGUGAAAUUGUUGAAAGGGAAGCGCUGGCAACCAGACCUGCCCGUAGGCGAUCAACCGCUGUUCUCAGCGGUGCACUCGUUCUGCGAUCAGGCCAGCAUCGGUUUCGGCGGUCGGAUAAAGGCCUUGGGAAUGUAGCUUCCUUUCGGGGGAGUCUUAUAGCCCUCGGUGCAAUGCGGCCAGCCGGGACCGAGGACCGCGCUUCGGCUAGGAUGCUGGCGUAAUGGUUGUCAGCGACCCGUCUUGAAACACGGACCAAGGAGUCUAACAUCUAUGCGAGUGUUUGGGUGUCAAACCCAUGCGCGGAAUGAAAGUGAACGGAGGUGAGAACCCUUGAGGGCGCAUCAUCGACCGAUCCAGAUGUCUUCGGAUGGAUUUGAGUAUGAGCAUAGCUGUUGGGACCCGGUAAGCACCCUUCCGCCCCCCUCUACGAAACAAAAUUGUUGGCUAACGUAUUGAACAGAAAGAUGGUGAACUAUGCCUGAAUAGGGUGAAGCCAGAGGAAACUCUGGUGGAGGCUCGCAGCGGUUCUGACGUGCAAAUCGAUCNUCAAAUUUGGGUAUAGGGGUAUGUAAAGAUGUUUUUUUAAUAGAGAUAGAGUUAAUGCUAACUUUCUAAUCUAGGCGAAAGACUAAUCG
rnacentral:rRNA from 1 species